CUCGAAAAUAUCAAGGGCUAGAGCCGCUAGAUGUUGCAGCAUUCUCGGCCUGGUCACACUGAGCUAGGGCUACUUUUUAUAUCAUAAAUCGAGAGUUUCAGGUGCUCAGAUGGCCAUCUAAAGGGUAAAUUGUUGUUACAUAUAGCUUUAGAGAUAGUUUCGAAUCACAUUGAUAAUCGUGCGAAACGUUCUCCGAAGCAAACUCAAACAAGUAACGAUUUCCACACAGUCGAAAUGUUUAAGUUGAAUUGUCUUACGGACAGUAAGAUGAGUACGACUAUUUGGAAAUCACAAACGAAUUGUUUUCAUGGUUGACACGCUUGCCAAGCUGCAAAACAAAAUGAAAGAAAUACAAUACAAGAAAAAUAUAUUUUAGAACGCAACAUUGUACAAGUCGCAAUGAAAACUAAAGUCUUAAAAGACGUGUAAAAUGUUGCAAAUUAAGCAAAUAUAUAUGCAUACAUGGGUAACGUUUUACGCGCCUUAACCAGUCAAAAUACUAAAAAUGUAUAAAUUUCAUAUAACUAGUGAAAUGUUGUACGAAACUUAGCAA